ensembl:lncRNA
CCUUGCAACACUUAUUGUACUCAAGGUCUGCAAAAAGACCCAUAGACCCUCACCUGCAGUAAAGCAGUAAAUCCCCCCCCCCCCCUUCUUCUCUUCAAAGAAAGGGUUUGGAUGUCAAUAAAAAAAAAAAGAAAUCUCUAAAGCACGGAUGUUCCUCUGAAGAUGUGUCAGAAGCAGAGUUGACAAGAUGUCAAUCUCAGAGGCCGGUGUGUACUAUCGAUGACGCUCUUGGUGAGCCCCCCCCCCCCUACGGAUCUGCUAUCUGUGGAAAAUGCCUCAGGACAAGGACUGCUCCUGAUAUGUCACCAGCCAUCAGGACCACAAGAGGGGGGGAUCAGAUGCUUUGCCAGAAAUCUCAGUCAGUGAAGAUUAUCUGGUUGUGUUUGAGCUUUACAGACUCGGGUCUAUAACUCGAUCGACUCACACAUUGAUCCGCCCUAAUCAGGACGGGCUAAAGGUUCUUUUUGAGAAGCAGAUUCCCGGUGUGGUGAGGUGGAUGUGCAGACAUGUUAAUGUCAUUUUAAUAAUGUUAACGUUUCUAUCAUUCUGGCUAUUCUUUCAUAUGAUAUAUAUAUAUAUAUAUA